ensembl:lncRNA
CAAGAGUCAUAGCAACUUUAUUCAUAAUAGCCAAAAACUGGAACAGCCCAGUGCCCAUCAGUUGUUCACCCAACAAGUGAAAGAGUAAACUGUGGCCUACCGACACAAUGGAGUACUACUCAGCAAUGAAAAGGAACAAAGAGCUUAAACACGUAGAUGAAUCUCAAUACAUGCCGAGUACAAAUUUAUACAAGAACACAUACUGAUUCCAUUUAUACGAAGUUCUAGAAUAGGCCAAGCUAACCUAUGGUGAAAACAAAAUCCUAACAAGAAGGGAUGGGAGAGGUGCAAGAAUUACUAAAGAAAUCUUCUGAUAUGUCAAAUGUUCCAUAGCUUGGGUUACACAGCUGGAUAUCAAAAUUCAUCAAGUGGUACACUUUACAUUUGUUCACUUUCACUGUACAUUUUACUUCAAGAACAAGGAGUCUGCUUAAUAAUACGGAUGCUAAAAGCUUAAGAAUCAAGUACAGAUGUCUAUGACUUUAACAUAAAGAAAUAUAGACUGAUGGCUGCACAGAUACAUGAUGAAGAAAAUAUGGCAAAAUGUUACUUGUAAAAUCAAUGUGGUAGAUAUAGGCAUGUUUUUAAUUCAAUGUUUUCAAAUACUUGAGUUUUUUUAUUAAAAUAUUGCAGGGGAAAAAAGAGACAUAAUAACCAUUGCAAUGAGUGGACUGUUGUUCAGAUCCUGCUUCAAGAAUAUAAACUUUGGGGGGUUUCCGGUGGCUCAGCAGGUUAAGCAGUGGGCAUUGUCACUGCUGUGGCAUGGGAAACUCCCGGUUUUUUUUAACCUUGGCAGAUUGGCAAAGAAAAGAUUGCUAAAAAACUGUGCUGGGAGGCUACAGGAAAUAGGCAUUUGCAUUGCAGGUGCAAACUAAGAAAAAAUAAAUUAUGGAUAUAAAUUUAAUUUUAGAUAUAAAUUACAGCUGCACAUACUUUGACCAUGUAUCCUACAGAGAAGUUUAUGUAUGUACAAAACGACAAAUUUAUAGAAGGUAAUUCAUUUCAGCAUUACAUAACAAAAGAUUGGAAAUAAUGUACAUGUUCAUUAGUAAUGACAGGUUAAAUUAUGUACAUCCAUACUGUAAAAUUGUUUAAAAAAUGUGAGAAAGGAUUUUAUAUACUUAUAUUUAGGAUGUACUAAAUGGGAAAAAAGGUACAGAAGAGGAUGCAUAGUACACUACAAUUUAUAUUUUUAAAAUAAAUGAAAAUGCCCACUAAUAUUUGCUAUCCCUACAGUAAAAUCACUGGAAGUUUACAUUAGAAACUGAUGAUAAGGUUGCUUAAGAAGGGGAAAUGUGCUGAAGUAUAGGAUGAUAAGAAGACUGUUCACUGUACACUCCUUCUUAUCCCUUGAAUUUUAUUUCCUUCAAAAAAUAUAAACAAAAAAUUAUCCUAUUUAUUUUCAUAUCAUCAAGGCUUAAGAACCAAAUUAAACCCUCCUAUAUCCCCUUCCUAAAAUUCAAUAGAAAACAACUAAAAACCUGGGCAAAAGACCUGAAGAGACACCUCACCAAAGAAACUAUGCAGAUGCAAAUAAACAUACAAAAAGAUAUCAACAUCUUAUGUAAUCAUGGAACUGCAAAUUAAAACUAGAUUAUCACCACACACCUAUUGGAAUAGCUAAAAGUAAAAAACACUGAUGAGACCAAAUGCUAGCAAGGAUGAGUUAAGACAGGAACUCUCCUUCAUUGCUGUUAGAAAUGCAAAAUGGUACAGCCACGUUGGAAGACAGUCUGGCACGUUCUUACAAAACUAAACAUAGUCUCACCAUAUGAUCCAGCAAGCACACUUCUUGGUUAUUUACCCAAAUGAGCUGAAAUCUUAUGUAUACACAAAAACCUACACACAACAUUUAUAGCAGCUUUAUUCUCUUCAUACAAACUCCAGAGAUUUAUUUUCUAAUCUGCUAAAUCCAGGCAGGAAAAAUGUCUCCAUACAACAUUUACAGCAAUUUCUCCCCCCAAACCUCUAGAACUUAGGCACUUUACUCCUGAGAUACACCUUUCUACUCUCUAAUACAGGUCCUACCAAUUGAAUGUGAAUGCUUUCACAGAAUUUGGGGGACACUCUGAAAAUAAUGCAAUGUUUUAAAUUAUAAAAUGAAUAGGAUGUUACUCAGAGAAAAAUCGCCAAAUGAGAUCUGCUAAAGGACUGCUAAGGGCAGAAGAUGCCAAGAAGGCAAGUUAACUAAUAAUGAGCAGGGUUGCUGCCUCAAAAAACGUCACUGAGAUGGAAGUGGUUUCCUCUGGCUUGUCUCUCCAUACUUCAGGAGUUGUGAGAAUGAUUUAGAGCCUCCUGCUCCAUAGCAGACUCGGUCUCCCUUCCCACCUGGCAGAAGCCUCAUUCAUGCAAGAAGAGACGGACAAACAAAAAUGGUUCUGCUUCCCUCUCUGGUAUCAGUGAGAAUAACAGAUUAGGUCACGACCUUCAGCCAAUUUUCUUAGUGUCUACAUGCUCCUUAGGAAUGUCCUCUCCUGCAAUUCUUUCAAGCUAGCCAAAGCAGGAUAUGAGUGACUGUUCUUGAUAGCUCUACCACAAAGGGGCUUAUAAAGACAUAAAGGACCCAAACAGAAGAGCAAAAUUUCACUGUCAUUAUUUCUUUCAAUAGCAAAUGAUGAUGCACAACUCAGUUCUGUCAAAUUGCGAGAGAGAGAAGUAUUUCUUUUGAUUGGAUAGAAAUAAAAGAUUACUUUUAGUCUUUUAUGUGCUUUUCUUUCCAGUUAGUACAUUUGCCUUGUCGGCAAUUAUUCAUUUACUAGCCUAAAUUAUGAGCAAUAUUCCAAAUUAAAGGGGAUAUAGGAAAGUAUAUGAAUUCAUUAGAUGCCUUUCCAAAAAGCCCACCUACUGUACUGAGAACUCAGCCAUGGUGUGACAAAAAGAUACUCUUCAAACUUACCCACCACACAUCUUAAUGCAUUUGUUCUCAUGCAUUUCCAGAUGUACAAGUGAAACUCAUUAGCUUUAAAAUAACUAUUAAAAAAGUAAUAAUAAUAAAAUAGAGUUAACUGCAAAUGAAUUAAUUCCUCACUAACCCCAAUCCCAAAGGACCCUGCAGAUUUUUUUCCACAGCAAAUUAGAAACCUAGUGCUAAGGAGAGAGAAAGAAAAGAUCGCAUUCUAAUAGCUCAUACAGCUAUAGACACCAGUUCUCAAUGCUCAGUACACUCAACUACCUUUGAAAAUACAUUUUUAUCUAGGGAGCAAUAUGGAAGAUGACAAGCUGAUUGAUUAAAUCAUGUCCUUACAGGAUGAUAAAAACAAACUCAACUAAAAAUUAACCAUUUCUUCUUAUACUAUUAUACCAGGACUUAAUACAAAAAAACCACAUUAGGUUGAUUCAAAAUAAAUACUCUUAGGUAAUCUUCAGCCCAUCUUCAUUUAUUGACUACUUAUGGUACGGUGAUUUCGUAUCUUAGUUGGUAAUCAAAGAUGGUUAUGCAUUAAGUGAGAGAAGACAUAAUCUCUCCUCCAGAUAUCACCUCUCAGAUAUCUGGGCUAAUUCAAUUUUAAGAACUAGAAUUGCAUCUCCUGGUAACCACAUGACAUUGUCACCUUGAGAACAGGAAGAAGGCAAAGAAAGUAUACAGGACUUUGAUUCUUCUACACAGGUGCACAUAAAAUUAGUUUAUUAAGGACUACAUUUUGAAGCCAGCCAUUUUGAUCCAAUGUUUAAAUAACAAGCUGUUUAAUAUUAAAGCAGAAGGUACUGCCACAAUGUGACAGAAAUACAGCUUUUCCAUAAACCCUUCACACGAUUAUACAUUAAAUGCUAUUUUAUUUAAGCAAGGCACCCCUACUUGUUCUAAAAUAUGGGAUGUGCUACCCCACUGAAAAAGCAGAUGAGGAGACUUAGAUUCUUUCCUAUCGAGAGCUGGUUUAAAUUCAAGUGAAGCCAUUAAUAU